UACGUAGGGGGCAAGCGUUGUCCGGAAUUACUGGGCGUAAAGCGUGCGCAGGCGGUUUGUUAAGUCCGCUGUGAAAUCCCCGAGCUCAACUUGGGAAUUGCAGUGGAUACUGGCAAGCUGGAGUAUGGUAGAGGAAGGUGGAAUUCCCGGUGUAGCAGUGAAAUGCGUAGAGAUCGGGAGGAACACCAGUGGCGAAGGCGGUUUCCUGGAGCUAACUUGACGCUGAGACGCGAAAGCUGGGGGAGCAAACGGG
rnacentral:rRNA from 1 species